rnacentral:rRNA from 1 species
UACGUAGGGGGCGAGCGUUGUCCGGAUUUAUUGGGCGUAAAGAGCUCGUAGGCGGUUGGGUAAGUCGGGUGUGAAAACUCAGGGCUCAACUCUGAGACGCCACUCGAUACUGCCCUGACUCGAGUCCGGUAGGGGAGCGUGGAAUUCCCGGUGUAGCGGUGAAAUGCGCAGAUAUCGGGAGGAACACCAAUGGCGAAGGCAGCUCGCUGGGACGGUACUGACGCUGAGACGCGAAAGCGUGGGGAGCAAACAGG